AGAGAACAUCCGAAGUUCCGUACCGAAGUCCCGAAUUUUGGAAUGCCGAGCCAAAUAUUUUCCCCAUGCACAUCCCGAGAAAAAAGGGGGCGGCUACCUAAACAGUGAACUGGUAGAAAUUAUAUGGAUGAAUUACUUAUCGAUUAAUUGCAAACAACAUGGAAUACGAUAUCAAAUCCCACUUCAAUAAUAAUGUCUUGGUAUAAGUAGCAUUCAGUGAAAGUCCAUGAAUACACAGUUUUGGAAUGGAGUGCAAAAAUGUCUUUAUGCAGCUAUGUCUCAGGUAUCAGGGUACAAAACUGCUGUUAUAAGGUACAUCCAAGGCUGAUAUAGUAUAACCUAUAAUUGGUAUACAAUGCUCUGGUACUGGUACAUCAUAAUCCACAAAGUAAAAAGUCCAAGAUGAUAUAAAAUCACUAUUAGAUCACUGUAGUAGAUCUAUAGUAGCAAGAUCUCUGUAAUCUGCACUAUAAAAAGAACAGCCAUAGUGCUCUCAAUUAAAAACACAGAAGUUUAUUUAUAAAGAAGAUAAGGUAGCUGUCCC